GUCUAUGGCCAUACCACCCUGAACGUGACUGAUCUUGUCUGAUCUUGGAAGCUAAGCAGGCUUGGGCCUGGUUAGUACUUGGAUGGGAGAUACAGCUCAGGGGUAUGCUGUGGACA
rnacentral:rRNA from 1 species